UCUUGUGCUCACUGAAGACUUUGCGAUCUCUCUUCCGCUUCCUCGGCGAAGUAACGUUCCGGAGUUAUGUCAAUCACUAAAGAAAACCCAAUAAUUCCACUAUUUCCUCUUCACUGCAACUUUUGGAUUCUCUCAGUUUCAAACUCUAUAUAUCCUUUUGUUCUCUAUCUUUUCCUCUUUACCAAAAUUAUCAAAAUCAAAGUAUCUUGGCAAUCUUCUACACUCCAAGCUGUGAGAUUUCUUUACGAACAGUGGUCGCAAAGUUGAUUCUGUACAGUUAGUCAUUGAUCUGUCUAGCAACAAUGAUCUAUUUGGUUUCGUUUGUAUCUUCCAGAGAAAAAGCAGAGAAUUUUGUCGAGCUAUGAAACCGAAGCUAAACUCAUAGCGUGUAUUCUGAUUCUGUGGCCAUUGAUUUAUUGAGUUGAUAGGAUGGAAUUGAUUCUGAUUCCUUGAGUGAUGAGACACCCACGUCAAGUUUUUAAACUUGAGCACUGAAACUUCCCAUGAAGCAAAAUACACUGGUGCACAGGACAAUAAAUCUUCUUAUAAUGAGGGUGAGCCUCUGCAUAUACGUAACAUUGUUCAUGGCCUUCCCUCACCCACUUCCUCCUUUUUCAGUAUAUGUUAGUAAACAAUGCUCAUGGUCUGCAAUGAUUUGUUAUGGCUUUUAAGUCAAUGGUCAUAUUUGUCUUUAGUUCUCAUUGAUGUUCAGCAUCACUAUACUUACACAUCCACAAUACAGCUGUUUCUGCUAUUUAACAAUCUCGUCAUAUAAGUAGUUUGGGAAAGGCCACGACUCCUUUGUCAUCGAUAUGAUUGCUUGUGGCUCUCUUCAUUACUUUGUGUCGAGUUCUCAGAGCCUCAGGUUAAAUGCUACAUGACUCAGCUAUUAAAAGGCUCGAUCAUUGUCAUUUUACUACUCAUGUUGUAACUCUGUGGUAUCGACCUCCUAAGCUCUUAUUUGGAGCUUCUCAUUACAGAGUUGGGAUUGACUUCGAGAGCACAAGCAGCAUAAUAGGUGCAAUAUACGCACUUUCCAGUAUAAGUAUAAACAAGAUGUUGUACUAGGAAAUUAAGAAGCCUUUGGUCUCAUGCGUUUUCAUUCAAAAGAAGACCACAAUGAGCUACUCUAUUGUCUCGUGGGCGUGUACAGCAUGGUCAAACGGCUCAAAGUUCUCAUGUGUCGUUCGACGUCAGAAGCAGAGAGGUAUCAAGGGAGGAAGAGGAAGCGAGAGAACAAAGGGAAAUGGAGUAUAGACCUCCUAAGCAAGCAAUUUCAAGCAAGGUGUAUGAUUUGGACCUGAAUGGGUUCACGGAGUCACAACUACGGUACGAAAUCAUAACUGUUUGAGAUACUAGAUAUGUGGAUCCUACCUUCAUAUGAUUCGAAGUUUCUGUAGUUUAACUAUGGCUGCACAAGACCAAGAACCAUGUAGCUUCUGAGAAGAAACGGCUUGGGUUGCUUGAAGCUGAGAAGAAGAGGGCACGUGCUUUUGUCUAGCAAGUACGCCACGUUGCCAACUCUGUUUCUAAUCAGCGUGAGAUGGAUAGAAGUAAAAUGAGGGACAAACUUGAAGACAAAUUGCUGAGGGAAAAGAGAAAUAGAUCGGAGUUUCUUUGACAGAGAAGAAGAUAGCGUGAUUCGAUUAGUCUCUACUGCGAUAUGAUGCAGCAAGAUGGUGAUCUUCUCUCUAGAAAGCUGUCAAGGUGUUGGAAGUGCUUUGUGAUUUAAUAAAGUCAGCCUGCUACUCUUAAAGCUGUUAACUCUUUGCUUGACUGCCUUCAAGUUCGCUUAGAAGCUUCUAAAACGUUACUGCUUCUUCUCAACCGUCGAUAAUGGAUAACAUUGAUCAUCUUCUUAGAAGAGUAGCCACCCCCAGAAAAAUGAAGACACCAAGUACUCUAAAGAACAGGAAAGAAAAGAGAGUUACUCCUGGUAGGAGGGUGGCCGUGACAUCUGAGGUUUCCUGUCAGAGUGGUCCUUUCUGCUUUUAUGAUACUCGGUCAUCCAGACGCUGUGUUUAACAGUCAAGGUGAUCAAGAGGCUGCUCUUAAUGACUCAGCGAAGGGUUUUUUGAGGGAGUUUAAGUUAUUGAUAAAGGUUAUUAAAGAGGGUCAUGUUAAGAUGUCUGUUGAGGAAUCAAAGCUUCAGAUGUUGAGAUCUCAGUUGGACUUAUUUGAUAAGGUAUGGUGCGCAUUUUUGAAUUCGUUUGUGCUUUGGAAAUUUAAGGAUACUCGGUUGUUGGGAGAGGAUAAGGUAAGAGCAGCUUGUCAGCUUGAAAUUUCCAUGAUUCAGAAAUGCAAGAUUACUCCAGAAGGAGAUAGACACUGUGCUCACUCAUGACAAGAAAGCAAUUCAGACCCGAAAUACGAAAGGCAUUACUAAGCUUCCCAGAAGGAUACAUUAAUUUUUCAUUAUUGUAAUAGAUUAUUGCCACUGCUCUCCUACUCUGCUCCCUUCGCAAUAUAUCAUCAAUAAUCCAUAGCUGGCCAUAUUAACUUUAAGAUUCUGCAGCUUUUGGUGUGUACAUAGUCAUCACUUUCAUUUCAAGUUACUUUUACUCUCAGAUACAAAAAAAAAUUGUUCUGAGAUCAACAGUAGUAACCAAUAUUUUAAUAAUA